rnacentral:rRNA from 1 species
GACGAACGCUGGCGGCGUGCUUAACACAUGCAAGUCGAACGAAAAGAGGGAAAGAGCUUGCUCUUUCCGGAAUUGAGUGGCAAACGGGUGAGUAACACGUAAACAACCUGCCUUCAGGAUGGGGACAACAGACGGAAACGACUGCUAAUACCGUAUAAGUUCCAAGAGCCGCAUGGCCCAUGGAAGAAAAGGUGGCCUCUACCUGUAAGCUAUCGCCUGAAGAGGGGUUUGCGUCUGAUUAGCUGGUUGGAGGGGUAACGGCCCACCAAGGCGACGAUCAGUAGCCGGUCUGAGAGGAUGAACGGCCACACUGGAACUGAGACACGGUCCAGACUCCUACGGGAGGCAGCAGUGGGGAAUCUUCCGCAAUGGGCGAAAGCCUGACGGAGCAACGCCGCGUGAGUGAUGACGGCCUUCGGGUUGUAAAACUCUGUGAUCCGGGACGAAAAGGCAGAGUGCGAAGAACAAACUGCAUUGACGGUACCGGAAAAGCAAGCCACGGCUAACUACGUG